rnacentral:lncRNA from 1 species
GACAGAGCCAAUUGCAGAGGACAUUUUAUAGAGCGCUCUUUCUCUUUAGUCGCCCAUUUUCUGCCAUCAGAAUAAUGCAGUGCGUUUCAGGGCCAUUUUCAUUUUUGAAGUACUCUUUCAUCAUUAGUUAAUAAAUACUCACCAGUGAAUUUUCCUCCCCGUCUUGGAAGUUGGAGUAAAAAGAAAGAUAAUCGCUUUCUAUUUCUAAAUUCCAAGACUGUGGUGCUCGAGGAGAUCUGCCCUGUGGAAGGCGAACCGGGAUCUAGAUUAUUGGUCAAACAAAGUCAACCGAUUCAUGACUUGCCAGCUGGAUCUCCCUUGCUUCUUCCAGGAGAGAGGGGGUUGAAAGAGCCAACAGGAACUGAGAAGCAUGAUAAACGAAGGAGGAAAAGUAACAAAGAGCUUGAAGACUUUCAUGGCUCCCAGGUCCUGGAUGGGAGGCCGGUGGCCUCAGACGGACAGAACCAAGGAGGUGCCUGUGGCUGCAGAGGCCAGAUGGAGUUGCUGCUACCCUUUCUCACUGCAUCCAGCUGUACACGUGAGGCACACGCGAGACUGUACCCGAACCCACCAGAAGUUUGUGACCCUACAGCGUUCUAUCGUUAUAAGGCAUAUCAUCAUUGUUCUGCUGCGUAUUCCUUACUAGUGACCUCCCCGUAUUUCCAACCUUAAGUAUUUUAAAAGUUAUCUUUCCAGGGUGCCUGGGUGGCUCAGUCCUUAAGUGUCUGCCUUUGGCUCAGGUCAUGAUCCCAGGGUCCUGGGAUCAAGCCCCGCAUCACGCUCCCUGCUCAGCGGGAAGCCUGCUUCUCCCUCUCCUGCUCCCCCUGCUUGUAUUCCCUCUCUCACUGCCUCUCUCUGUCCAAUAAAUAAAUAAAAUCUUUAAAAAAAUAAAAGCUG